rnacentral:rRNA from 1 species
UACGUAGGGGGCUAGCGUUGUCCGGAAUCAUUGGGCGUAAAGAGCGUGUAGGCGGCUUGGUAAGUCCGCUGUGAAAGUCCAGGGCUCAACCCUGGAAAGCCAGUGGAAACUGUCAAGCUAGAGUCCGGAAGAGGCGAGUGGAACUCCUGGUGUAGCGGUGAAAUGCGCAGAUAUCAGGAAGAACACCAAUGGCGAAGGCAGCUCGCUGGGACGGUACUGACGCUGGAGACGCGAAAGCGUGGGGAGCAAACAGG